rnacentral:rRNA from 1 species
CCUACGGGAGGCAGCAGUGGGGGAUAUUGCACAAUGGGGGAAACCCUGAUGCAGCGACGCCGCGUGGGCGAAGAAGUAUUUCGGUAUGUAAAGCCCUAUCAGCAGGGAAGAAGAAAUGACGGUACCUGAGUAAGAAGCACCGGCUAAAUACGUGCCAGCAGCCGCGGUAAUACGUAUGGUGCAAGCGUUAUCCGGAUUUACUGGGUGUAAAGGGUGCGCAGGCGGGAGAUCAAGUCAGCGGUAAAAUGUCGGGGCUCAACCCCGGCCGGCCGUUGAAACUGGUUUUCUAGAGUUGGAGAGAAGUAUGCGGAAUUCGUGGUGUAGCGGUGAAAUGCAUAGAUAUCACGAAGAACUCCGAUUGCGAAGGCAGCAUACCGGCUCCAUACUGACGCUGAGGCACGAAAGCGUGGGGAUCGAACAGGAUUAGAUACCCCAGUAGUC